GUUGCAAUAAGACUCUAAGAGAAUUGAAAG
rnacentral:other from 19 species